rnacentral:rRNA from 1 species
GACGAACGCUGGCGGCGUGCUUAACACAUGCAAGUCGAACGGAAAGGCCCUGCUUUUGUGGGGUGCUCGAGUGGCGAACGGGUGAGUAACACGUGAGUAACCUGCCCUUGACUUUGGGAUAACUUCAGGAAACUGGGGCUAAUACCGGAUAGGAGCUCCUGCUCCAUGGGGGGGGUUGGAAAGUUUCGGCGGUUGGGGAUGGACUCGCGGCUUAUCAGCUUGUUGGUGGGGUAGGGGCUUACCAAGGCUUUGAAGGGUAGCCGGCCUGGGAGGGUGGACGGCCACAUUGGGACUGCGAUACGGCCCAGACUCCUACGGGAGGCAGCAGUGGGGAAUAUUGCACAAUGGGCGGAAGCCUGAUGCAGCAACGCCGCGUGCGGGAUGCCGGCCUUCGGGUGGUAAACCGCUUUCGCCUGUGACGAAGCGUGAGUGACGGUAAUGGGUAAAGAAGCACCGGCUAACUACGUG